GGCGGUUUGGCCGAGUGGUCUAUGGCAGCUGACUUGAAAUCAGCCGGUUCGCAAGGGCCCUAGAGUUCGAAUCUCUAAGCCGCCUCCA
rnacentral:tRNA from 1 species